UCGUCAAAUCAAUCCAAAAUUAUAAAAAAUAUGUAUAUAUUUUUAAUUUCCUUCCCUUAUCUCUUUCUUUCUUCUUCUUCUCUCUCUUUCUUUUCUUCUUCUUCUUUCUCUCCGCCAGAUUCCUUCUCUCUUCUCUCUCUCCGUUUCUCUCCUUUUUACGUAUAAAACUAAAAUAAAAUAAUUUCACCGCAAUUCGCAGUCGCUUCCCAUUUCCAGUCCUCCCCUCCCCUCCCCUCCCCUCUCUUCUUCCUCUUCCUCAGACUCUUGUCCAGUUUCGUUUUCUUCAUUUGAUUGGUUCUUGCUCUUCAUUUUCAUUUUCUCCAGUUCUUCUUGUGUAUCCAGUUACCCAGCCCUCCCUUUCUUCGGCUCUUCUUCUUCCUUUUCAGUUCGUCUUCUUUGGAAGUUGAUGCUUGAGGUGUUAAAUAUCAGCAUUUGGUCAUUUAGAAGAGGUAAGCGCAUUGUAUCUUGUGUCCUUUCGAUGCUGUUUCAAUUUCUUGCUUUGAGUGCAUUUUUCUAACAUUUGCUUUGAGUGUAUAAAUUUGAGAAAAUGUUAUAAAUACAGAUGAGAUGCUGCUGAAAUUUUGACCGAUGUUUUCACUGAAUGAACAAAAUUUUUGGCCAAAGCUUUUGCCCGAAACAUUGUGAUCCUGGUGGGCCCUGGUUCGAUCUCUCGU
rnacentral:lncRNA from 1 species